rnacentral:rRNA from 1 species
CCUACGAGGGGCAGCAGUGAGGAAUAUUGGUCAAUGGACGAGAGUCUGAACCAGCCAAGUAGCGUGAAGGAUGACUGCCCUAUGGGUUGUAAACUUCUUUUAUAUGGGAAUAAAACGUUCCACGUGUGGGAUUUUGUAUGUACCAUAUGAAUAAGGAUCGGCUAACUCCGUGCCAGCAGCCGCGGUAAUACGGAGGAUCCGAGCGUUAUCCGGAUUUAUUGGGUUUAAAGGGAGCGUAGGUGGAUUGUUAAGUCAGUUGUGAAAGUUUGCGGCUCAACCGUAAAAUUGCAGUUGAAACUGGUAGUCGUGAGUACAGUAGAGGUGGGGGGAAUUUGGGGUGUAGCGGUGAAAUGCUUAGAUAUCACGAAGAACUCCGAUUGCGAAGGCAGUUCACUGGACUGCAACUGACACUGAGGCUCGAAAGUGUGGGUAUCAAACAGGAUUAGAUACCCUAGUAG